UACGUAGGGGGCAAGCGUUGUCCGGAAUUACUGGGCGUAAAGGGCCAGUAGGCGGCCAACUAAGUCGGAUGUGAAAUCCCCAGGCUCAACUUGGGAACUGCAUCCGAUACUGGAUGGCUUGAAUUCGGGAGAGGGAUGCAGAAUUCCAGGUGUAGCGGUGAAAUGCGUAGAUAUCUGGAGGAACACCGGUGGCGAAGGCGGCGUUCUGGACUGCUACUGACACUGAGGAACGAAAGCCAGGGGAGCAAACGGG
rnacentral:rRNA from 1 species